AUUGAACGCUGGCGGCAGGCCUAACACAUGCAAGUCGAGCGGAUGAAGGGAGCUUGCUCCUGGAUUCAGCGGCGGACGGGUGAGUAAUGCCUAGGAAUCUGCCUGGUAGUGGGGGAUAACGUCCGGAAACGGGCGCUAAUACCGCAUACGUCCUGAGGGAGAAAGUGGGGGAUCUUCGGACCUCACGCUAUCAGAUGAGCCUAGGUCGGAUUAGCUAGUUGGUGGGGUAAAGGCCUACCAAGGCGACGAUCCGUAACUGGUCUGAGAGGAUGAUCAGUCACACUGGAACUGAGACACGGUACAGACUACUACGGGAGGCAGCAGUGGGGAAUAUUGGACAAUGGGCGAAAGCCUGAUCCAGACCUGCCGCGUGUGUGAAGAAGGUCCUCGGAUUGUAAAGCACUUUAAGUUGGGAGGAAGGGCAGUAAGUUAAUACCUUGCUGUUUUGACGUUACCAACAGAAUAAGCACCGGCUAACUUCGUG
rnacentral:rRNA from 1 species